rnacentral:rRNA from 1 species
UACGUAGGGGGCAAGCGUUGUCCGGAUUUAUUGGGCGUAAAGCGCUCGCAGGUGGUUCGUCGCGUCGUGCGUGAAAGACCCCGGCUCAACUGGGGAGGGUCGUGCGAUACGGGCGAACUGGAGGCCAGUAGGGGGAUGCGGAAUUCCGGGUGUAGUGGUGGAAUGCGUAGAGAUCCGGAGGAACACCGGUGGCGAAGGCGGUUCUCUGGGCAUUACCUGACGCUGAGGAGCGAAAGUGUGGGGAGCGAACAGG